ACCCAUCAAGCCCCUGAGUAUAUAACCAUUUAUGCUUCAUUAACACAAAGUAAAUGCUUCAUAUUUGUUUAUUAUCAUGAUGACCUGCACAAUAAGAACCAAAACCAAGCCAGAUAGUGUAGAACUGGCCUGUUCAACUGGCAGUAUUAACAAACAGCACCUGCAAGAACGGGGGUGCAGUCUAGCUUACAAAACAGGAAAAUCAUUCACUGAAGAAUUUGCAUAUGGAAUACAGAUACAUUGCAUGGAAAGAAAGCCGACCUGGAGACUGACAGGCAGCUGUGGUGUGAAUGCCUCAUGAUGGUGAAAGUCAGGAUGGUGGAUGGAUGCUGCAUUGCUUUGUUGAUGCAGUUAUGAACAUUAUUGGGCAAUAUGCAUAUGCAAGUGUGGACCACAUUCAGCACAUUUACCUUGUGUAACCUACACAGGUUCAGUAAAGAGAUUUGUAAGACCGUGAUAUUCCCCCCAUGGUAGACCCAAAUGCUCGCUUUCAGCUCAGUUUUAUCACAGAGACUGAUGGAAUAAUAUCUUUAGCUUUUAAUAGCAAGACACAUUUAGGAAAUUAUACAUGAGUUGAAGAUAGAGAAAUUCUGGAACAGGAGAGGUCAUCAGUGCAUUUCUGCAAGUAGAAGCUUGUUUAGUCAGAUAACGUGGUCUCAACAGAUUAAAACAUCACUUGUGAUUAAACUGAUUGGUAUAAAACUAUAAGUGAACCAUUCUGUUCAUUCCAUGUAUUAGACGGGAACAGCCAAAUUAAUUUGAAAUCAAGAAAUUAUUAAAAUAAAAUUCUCACUGAAGGUCCA
rnacentral:lncRNA from 1 species